rnacentral:rRNA from 1 species
AUUGAACGCUGGCGGCAGGCCUAACACAUGCAAGUCGAACGAGUGGCGGACGGGUGAGUAAUGUCUGGGAAACUGCCCGAUGGAGGGGGAUAACUACUGGAAACGGUAGCUAAUACCGCAUACCAUCGGAUGUGCCCAGAUGGGAUUAGCUAGUAGGUGGGGUAACGGCUCACCUAGGCGACGAUCCCUAGCUGGUCUGAGAGGAUGACCAGCCACACUGGAACGGAGACACGGUCCAGACACCUGCGGGAGGCAGCAGUGGUGAAUAUUGCAAAAUGGGCGCAAGCCUGAUGCAGCCAUGCCGGGUGGAUGAAGAGGGCCUUCGGGUUGUAAAGUACGUUCAGCGAGGAGGCGUUACUCGCAGAAGAAGCACCGGCUAACUCCGUGCCAGCAGCCGCGGUAAUUC